rnacentral:ncRNA from 1 species
AGUGAGGCCUCAGGAUCUGCUUAGAGAAGGGGGCAACUCCAUCUCAGAGCGGAGAAUUUGGACAAACUUGGUCAUUUAGAGGAACUAAAAGUCGUAACAAGGUUUCCGUAGGUGAACCUGCGGAAGGAUCAUUA